rnacentral:rRNA from 1 species
CGAUGGAAGCUGCUUCUAUCAAUCUUAGUGGCGAACGGGUGAGUAACGCGUAAUUAACCUGCCCUUCAGAGGGGGACAACAUUGGAAACGACUGCUAAUCCGCAUACGAUCUAAUCUCGGCAUCGAGGAGGAUGAAAGGUGGCCUCUAUUUAUAAGCUAUCACUGAAGGAGGGGAUUGCGUCUGAUUAGCUAGUUGGAGGGGUAACGGCCCACCAAGGCGAUGAUCAGUAGCCGGUCUGAGAGGAUGAACGGCCACAUUGGGACUGAGACACGGCCCAGACUCCUACGGGAGGCAGCAGUGGGGAAUCUUCCGCAAUGGACGAAAGUCUGACGGAGCAACGCCGCGUGAGUGAUGACGGCCUUCGGGUGUAAAGCUCUGUUAAUCGGGACGAAAGGCCUUCUUGCG